rnacentral:rRNA from 1 species
GAGUUUGAUCAUGGCUCAGAUUGAACGCUGGCGGCAUGCUUUACACAUGCAAGUCGAACGGCAGCACGGGUGCUUGCACCUGGUGGCGAGUGGCGGACGGGUGAGUAAUGCAUCGGAACGUGUCCUGAAUGGGGGAUAACGCAUCGAAAGAUGUGCUAAUACCGCAUAUUCUCUGAGGAGGGAAGUAGGGGAUCGAAAGACCUUAUGCUUUUGGAGCGGCCUAUCAGCUUGUUGGUGGGGUAAUGGCCUACCAAGGCUUCGACGGGUAGCCGGCCUGAGAGGGUGACCGGCCACACUGGGACUGAGACACGGCCCAGACUCCUACGGGAGGCAGCAGUGGGGAAUAUUGGACAAUGGGCGGAAGCCUGAUCCAGCAACGCCGCGUGAGGGAUGACGGCCUUCGGGUUGUAAACCUCUUUCAGUACCGACGAAGCGCCGAUGAUGGUGGUGACGGUAGGUACAGAAGAGGCACCGGCCAACUACGUG